GGGGGUGUAGCUCAUAUGGUAGAGCGCUUGGUUUGCAUGCGAGAGGCACGGUGUUCAACUCCCCGAACCUCCA
rfam:Gossypium hirsutum cultivar TM-1 chromosome 8, whole genome shotgun sequence